CACUAGCUCAGUUGGUAGAGCGCAACCUUGCCAAGGUUGAGGUCACGAGUUCGAACCUCGUGUG
rnacentral:tRNA from 2 species